CGACCGGCGCACGGGUGAGUAACACGUAUCCAACCUGCCGAUAACUCGGGGAUAGCCUUUCGAAAGAAAGAUUAAUACAAGAUGGCAUCAUGAGUUCACAUGUUCACAUGAUUAAAGGUAUUCCGGUAGACGAUGGGGAUGCGUUCCAUUAGAUAGUAGGCGGGGUAACGGCCCACCUAGUCUUCGAUGGAUAGGGGUUCUGAGAGGAAGGUCCCCCACAUUGGAACCGAGACACGGUCCAA
rnacentral:rRNA from 1 species